rnacentral:misc_RNA from 1 species
CAGGCCUCCCUCUGCUUGGUUCCAGUCGUGGGCAUGAGUGAGGGACGAUGCUUGAUGGCUUUGAUGCCAUCGGUGGGAAUGUAUUUAAGCAUCGGCCUUCCCUCAUGCUCACGAUGGUCUACAGUCUUGGGUAUGAGUCAGUGAUGAUGCUUGUUUGUUUAGAUGCUUGCGUUGGAACUUGCUUGUUUAGAUGCUUGCGUUAGAACUUGCUUGUUUAGAUGCUUGUGUUGGAACUUGCUUAAGCAACCGACCUGACGAAGUACCCAUGAAUGUUCAACCUAGUAGGGAUGUGUCCCUGCGCCCAACGACAUUUUUUGUCGGGAUCGUGGCAAGUCUGCGAUCCAGGGGGUGAUGUUGAGAGCCGGAAGGCAAGGGGGUGCAAACACCAGUCGGCCUUUGUCCCGAUUGUUGAGUGUUUUGUGCUUGAUGUCCAAGGCUUGAUGCUGAUCCUCCAAGUGGGGCUUGUCCCUGCACCAAUGGCUUUUGCCAGGAUCAUGGUGUUUGCUAUGAUCAAAAAAAUGAGGGGGUGAUGUUGAGAGCCGGAAGGCAAGGGGGUGCAAACACCAGUCGGCCUUUGUCCCGAUUGCUGAGUGUUAUGUGCUUGACGUCCAAGGCUUGAUGUUGACCCUCCAAGUGGGGCUUUUUUGUUCCUGCGGUAACGACUUUGUUGGGAUCAUUGUGAUCAAGUUUGGUUGGUUUCGUAUUGUGGUGGGUUUUUUCGAAGCUUCUAUCGUUGUUUUACGCAUCGUGCGGUGCAUCUUGGGGGCUGUUUUGGCUUUUGGUUGCUUGCUUGGGCUUUAUGCUAGGCGGGUGGCUAAU